CCUAGAGUGGUGUAAUGGCAACAUCCUUAGUUGACACACGGCCAUAGGCCGUGCCCUUCGGGGGCCGGGGGACCUGGGUUCGAUUCCCAGCUCUGGGG